rnacentral:rRNA from 1 species
GACGAACCGAGCGAACGUUAUUCGGAAUCACUGGGCUUAAAGGGCGCGUAGGCGGGCCGUCAAGUCGAGGGUGAAAGCCCCCAGCUCAACUGGGGAAGUGCCUUUGAUACUGGCGGUCUCGAGGGGGAUAGGGGCGUGCGGAACUUCCGGUGGAGCGGUGAAAUGCGUAGAGAUCCUGAGGAACACCGGUGGCGAAAGCGGCGUGCUGGACACCUUCUGACGCUGAGGCGCGAAAGCCAGGGGAGCGAACGGG